GAUGAACGCUGGCGGCGUGCUUAACACAUGCAAGUCGAACGGAAAGGCCGAAGCUUGCUUCGGUACUCGAGUGGCGAACGGGUGAGUAACACGUGGGUGAUCUGCCCUGUACUUCGGGAUAAGCUUGGGAAACUGGGUCUAAUACCGAAUAUGACGAUCUCUUGGAUGGGGUUGUGGAAAGCUUUUGCGGUAUGGGAUGAGCUCGCGGCCUAUCAGCUUGUUGGUGGGGUAAUGGCCUACCAAGGCGUCGACGGGUAGCCGGCCUGAGAGGGUGUACGGCCACAUUGGGACUGAGAUACGGCCCAGACUCCUACGGGAGGCAGCAGUGGGGAAUAUUGCACAAUGGGCGCAAGCCUGAUGCAGCGACGCCGCGUGGGGGAUGACGGCCUUCGGGUUGUAAACUCCUUUCGCAAUCGACGAAGCCUUUUGGUGACGGUAGGUUGAGAAGAAGCACCGGCUAACUACGUG
rnacentral:rRNA from 1 species